UGCAGGAGAACUAUGAGAAUGUGACCUCACUGGCUGGUAGAAGAACCCGCAAGGGGAGAAGCAACUCUCCAUUUAGUCCUGAGUGGAGCGCAGGAUAUUGUCCAAAAGCUCUUUCCUGGAGGGGAGGUGAAAGGACUUGAGGGUAC